UCAGUUUGUGAUUUUUAUAUGGUAUCAAAGCCAUAAGGUUUUCUUGCUCAAUUUCUUCUGCAAAUCCAGUUACUCUCUUUGUUUUUCAUCAUCAUGCCUAACAAUGAAGAAGUAGCAGUUGGAGUUUCUAUCCCUGCUCAAAGGGGAAAUUCUUCAGGCACUCUGGAUGUCUCUCACCCCUAUUUCCUUCAUGCUUCUGAUGCACCAAGAAUGGUCCUGGUGAACUGUCCUUUUGAUGGAAAGGGCUAUACUGGAGGGAGGAGAUCGAUUCUUAUCUCUUUAUCUGCAAAAAAUAAGCUGGGGUUCAUUGAUGGAACCUUACCAGCCCCAGCUACCACUGAUGUUGCCUGGAAUUUAUGGAAUCGAUGUAAUGACAUGGUUACAUCUUGGUUGUUGAAUUCUCUUUCAAAAAGCAUAGAUGAUAGUGUUCUUUAUUCAAAAACAGCACAAGAUUUAUAGUGUGACAUUGAACAUAGGUUUAGGCAACCAAAUGGUGCCAAACUUUAUCACCUGCAAAAGGAAUUGGCAGAUUUAGUUCAAGGAAAUGAUGAUAUUGCAGGUUACUUUACUAAAAUCAAAAAAAUCUGGGAUGAGCUUGAUGCUCUUAAUGCUGCCAUGCUUUGCAGUUGUAACUGCAACUGUGGAGGAAAGAAAAAGGUCAUACAGUCUACAGAAGAUGAGAGGCUCACUCAAUUCCUUAUGGGGUUGAAUGACACUUUUGCUCCCGCAAGAAGCAAUAUACUCAUGAUUAAUCCUUUACCCUCUGUCAACUAUGCAUAUUCUCUGCUUAUGCAAGAUGAGAAUCAAAGGGAAUCUCAUGUCGUCUCUCAAUUUCCUGGAAAUGGUUCUUCUUUCAUGGUAGGAAGUCAAAGCACACCAUAUCCAGGAAGCUCUCAGCAAGAGUGGUAGUUACAAUAACAAGGGAAAUUCUAUUAUAAAAGGGAAGAAAUCUGGACAAUUUUGUUCCUACUGCAAAAUGACUAAUCACACUAUGGAAAAUUGCUACAGGCUCAUAGGAUUUCCAGCUGAUUUUAAAUUUACCAAAGGAAGAAAGAUUCAAGGACCUGUCAAGGGAAAUUCAGUAGUUGCUGCUCAUGUGACAGAGGAAAGGGAAACCAACUAUGGAACUAAAAGCAAUUUGCACAACAAUUGUCUCCUGAACAGUUCAAUCUACUUGUGACUCUUCUCAAUCAAAACAAAGUUGCCCAGUCCACUGUUCCAGAGGUGAAUGCAAACAAUGCAUCUGGUAUAACUCUAGCUACUCUAAGCAAUUCUUAUGCAGCCUUUAAAGCUAAUUCUAGCUCCUGGAUCAUAGAUUCCGGAGCUUCUGAUCACAUGUACUUUAAUCCCAGUUCAUUUUUAUCCCUACUUCCUUUACCUGUUUCAAUUAUGGUUAAGUUGUCUGAUUUUUCUAUUGUGAAGGUAACACAUGCAGGUAGAAUAACCAUUUCUGAAGGUCUCAUUCUAGAACAUGUUCUACAUGUUCCAAGUUUCAAAUAUAAUCUACUUUCUAUUCAUAAGCUAUGCAUCAGUUUCAGUGCUUCAUUCUAUUCACUCCUUUUGGAUGCAUUUUGCAGGGCUCUCAUAAAGAGGCCUCAAGUUUUUGGUGAAGCAAAAGGGGGACUCUAUCUGUUGGAACCUAGUGGAAACCUAGCUAGGAAUUUAUCUUCAGUUUCUGCAUUUUCUUUUUCCAAAAAUGAUGAAUCUAGUGCUGUUUCAGCUAAGUCUUUUCCUAUUUCUGCAAAAUCAGAAUCUGAUGUAAACUUAUGGCAUGUAAGACUUGGGCAUUUGCCCUUUCAAGCAAUGAAACAUAUCAGAUCACUUUCUUUUCCUAAUUUAUCUCAUUGCCCUUGUGCUAUAUGUCCUUUGGCUAGGCAAUCUAGGAAUCUUUUUCCAAUCAGUCUCAUUAAAUCAAAACAAAUGUUUGAGCUUAUUCAUGUUGAUACGUGGGGUCCUUUUAAAACACCUACCUAUAAUGGAUAUUUUCCUCACUAUUGUGGAUGACUAUAGUAGAAGUACUUGAACUUUUCUUCUUAGUACUAAAGGAAAUGCUUUCACCACUUUAAAAUACUUCCUGAACAUGGUUGAAAGGCAAUUCAAUGCCAAAGUUAAGGUUAUCCGAUCAGAUAAUGCAAUGGAACUGGAAAAAGGGACUGUUUCUUCUAUGUUUCUGAAUUCCCAAGGAAUUUUGCAUCAAACAUCUUAUGUUGCUACCCCUCAACAAAAUGGUGUUGUUGAGAGAAAACACAGACAUUUAUUGGAGAUAGCAAGAGCUUUACUAUUUCACUCCAAGGUGCCUAUGUCCUAUUGGGGUGAAGGCAUUCUCACAACUACCUUUCUCAUUAACAGAUUCCCCUCAAAGGUACUUCAUAAAAAAAUACCUCAUGAGAUUCUUUUUGGUCAGGUUCCUAAUUAUCAUUCUUUAAAGUAUUUUGGUUGUCUAUGUUUUGCUUCUACCCUCUCUCAACACAGGACCAAAUUUGAACCUAGGGCAAGAAAAUGUGUUUUCCUUGGCUAUCCAUAUGGGCAAAAGGGGUAUAAGUUGUUGGAUUUGGAGUCUAAAAAGAUUUUUAUUUCUAGAGAUGUCCAUUUCCAUGACAACAUCUUUCCCUUUGUUACCGAUGCAGAACCCUCGUAUCCUAUUUUUCCUUUUCCUAAUGAAUUUUCUGUUUCUGAUCCUAUAUCCACUCAUCCUCCUCUUCCAAGUACCCCAUCAAUAUCACACUGCCAACCUCCCACUUCUACUUCUUCACUUUCACCAACAUUAUCAAUUUCUCCUCAUUCUACUGGUUCUCUUUCACCUCUUAGUAAUACUUCUUCUAUUCAAUCUACUUCUACUCCUUCCUUGCCAUACUCUAUUCCCUCUUCUAGGAAAUCUACCAGGAUCACCAAAGGAAAAUUACCUAGUUAUCUAGGAGAUUACUUUUGUGGAAACAUAUAUACUACUGAUCUUACUUCUACUUGUUUUAAUUUCCCAGUUUCUCCUCCUACAUUUUCUUUUGCUGCUUUAUUGUCUCAAAACCAAUAUCUUAUCACAACUCUUGAUACCUUUGUUGAGCCAACUAGCUAUUCUCAAGCAUCUCAACAUCAAGGAUGGAGAAAUGCAAUGGAUUCUGAAAUCCAAGCUUUACUUUACAACAAUACUUGGGAAGUUGUUCUUUUGCCUAAAAGAAUGAAAGCCCUACCAUGUAAGUGGGUAUACAAAAUUAAGCAGCAAGCUGAUGGUACAAUUGAAAGAUUGAAGGCAAGAUUAGUUAUUCGGGGAGAUACUCAAAGAGAAGGUAUUGAUUACACAGAAACUUUUUCUCCCGUUGUCAAAAUGACAACCAUCAGAUGUUUGCUUACUCUAGCAGUCAAGAAGGGAUGGUCCAUAUCUCAGUUUGAUGUUAGUAAUGCUUUUCUCCAUGGAGACCUCCAGGAAGCGGUUUACAUGAAGUUUCCUGCAGGGGUCACUCCUUCACCCUAACAAGUUUGUCGACUAAAGAAAUCCUUGUACGGCCUCAAGCAAGCCUCUAGACAAUGGUAUGCAAGGCUUGCGGGGCACUCAGUUUCAAAGGAUUUUCUUCAUCUCUCAACGACUAUUCCUUAUUUUUCAAAAAAAAAUGGAAACUUUGUCACUAUUAUCGUUGUUUAUGUGGACGACAUUCUUAUUACAGGCAAUGAUCCUAUUGAAAUUUCAAGUCUUAAACAGUUUCUACACUCAGAAUUCAAAGUCAAGGACUUGGGGGAACUUCACUAUUUCUUAGGUAUGGAGGUUUUACGCGAAACGCAUGGAAUUAUUCUUACUCAACAAAAAUUUACACAGGAAUUACUUACAUAGUUUAACUGCACUGAUAUGCCCAUUGUUUCUUCUCCUCUUGAUCUUUCUUCAAAAUUGGUCGCCAAAUCAGAUUCUCUCCUCAUUGAUCCCAUAAUUUAUCGUCGAUUGAUUGGCAACCUCAACUAUUUAACUCACACUGGACUAGAUCUUUGUUUUGCCGUCUUGACCCUCAGUCAGUACAUGAAUCAACCAAGCAGCGAUCAUUUUUCAGCUGCAUUAAGAGUUCUUUGCUACCUUGCUAGCACUCCAAAUCAGGGUCUAUUCUUUUCUUCGUCCCCUUCCUUUGAACUCUCAGCCUUCUGUGAUGCCGACUGGGCAUCCUGUCGUGAUUCUCAUCGCUCCGUCAGUGGCUUCUUUAUCAGUCUUGGCGGAUCCCCAAUUUCUUGGAAGUUAAGAAACAAACUUCUGUUUCCUUGUCUUCCGCCGAAGCGGAAUAUAGAUCCAUGAGGCGUCUUGUUGCAGAAAUUACUUGGUUGACUCGUCUUCUUUCAGAUCUCUCGAUCCCACCAUCUCUACCAGUUCCCAUUUUCUCCGAUAGCCAAGCAGCUAUUCAUAUCGCCCGAAACCCCGUGUUCCACGAACAGACAAAACACGUGAAACUCGAUUGCCAUUUUGUUCGACAACAGUUCCUUUUCGGGCUUAUUUCCCUCUCAUUUGUCCCUUCAAAAUCUCAACUUGCUGACCUGUUCACUUAACCCUUAUCUGGUCCUUCUCAUCAUUCUAUUCUUGCCAAGUUAGGCGUCUCUUUCCUCCCCUCCAACUUGAGGGGGGGUGUUGGAAGAAUUAACUCUCAUUCCUCUUACCAAUUUUCCAUUGAAGAUGAUAACACACAGAAGAAAAAAGGAAAGAAAGAUGUCAACAGCAAGUCAAGAACAAAAGAGAAACUCAAUGGACUUAUGUCUGAAGACAGCUGAGAGAUGUGGCAAGAUCAGAAGCACACAAAUAUAACAUAUGGACUAAAUAUGGACCGUCAGAUGCAUACAAGGACAGCUGUUCAUAUUCUAGAUAAUUCUGUACAAAGAAUAUAGUUUAGUUAUAACAGCUAUGUAUUUAGACAAAUAGGAAUUAGACAAGUGUACAGUAUUAUUUUCUUAUUUUGCAAGAAAUACUUGUAUAUAUACACAUCUUUGUACACAUGGAUCAAGACAUCAGAAGAAAAUUUUUCCCUAAUUCAGUUUGUGAUUUUUAUAACUAAAUCCCAUGAUCAUUUGAUGUCCUCGACAAAACCUUUUUGGUCUUUCCUUUAUGGCGAUUAAAUGGAAGUUGAGUACUAGCCUGAGAAUUUCGACAAUAUCGGGUAAUGAUAAAAUAGUGCAUAAACAUAAUCUAUGCAAUGAACCCUUUACAACAAAAAGAGAAUAACUCUCCAAUGGCAAAUUUAAUCCACUCACAAAUCAACUUACCGACACAAUCAGUCAUCUCAACUUGGAUUUGGGUAGAAAAACUAUACCCCUUCUUGGCCUGUUUAUCCUGGCAUAUGAGCUUUUUAUGCAUAGAGAUCUGGGCAAUCUGAAACCAUGUACUGUAGAAGCAGCUCAGAGCCUCACUUGAAGCUUAAAUUUCGACAAGUUUGGUCACAUAGAACUGCUUGAAGAUUCUUAUGUUGUAGAACGUCCGGGCAUUAACUCCUCGAGCCACUACUGCUAUUUCUAGGAGUCACCUAGGAUUGUGUGAUAACUUCAUCAGACUUCAAUGUACUAUGCACUUCCCAUGAAGUUCUACAUUGCAACAUGUAUCAAUCGAUAACAAACCCCAAAAUUUGUUUUUUUUUUAAUUCAAAAAUUGAUGAUAAUUGAGUUAAAAACUAGUGGUUCUUAACAUUUGUAAUGCGCAACUCAUAUUGAAGGGAACCAACUUACUAAUACAAAAGCACAAACCACACCGUGCCAAGCUUCCCUAUGUUCGAUCUCCACUAAUCAAAACAGCAAUGCCUUUGCCAUAUCCAUAUCUCGUCUUACGAAAUUAAUUUCCAAGAGGAUGAGUAAUUUGCCACUUCAUUUCAAGAACCAAAGCAAAUACACAGUCAGAGUUAUAUGCCUCUGUCGGAUCUCUUGUUAGGAAGUUAAUUUCCAAGAGGCAAACUUAGUACCAAAGGAACAAGGAAAGAUUUAGACUAAGAUUCUCGACGGCCUAGGCAGAACCCAGUCGAAGAGGGGGUUUGGAAAUAGUUUUCAACUAGGCAAUAGACGCACCUCGAUUAGAACCUUGCUAGCUGCGUCAUUGCACCAACCGCAAAGAUAGCUUUGCCUCACCCUCUGCUUUCAUAUUAUAGGGCUCGUUUCCCUGUUCUCCAUCUA
rnacentral:lncRNA from 1 species